rnacentral:lncRNA from 1 species
AGUAGCAAAGCCCCGGAGCGGGCUGCGCGGUUCCCGCGGGCGCGGUCGGUUUGUGCCCGGAGGUAGCUGCAGGGCGGUCACGUAGGUUACACGCAGUCACUCGGCGGAGCCCGCAGGCCGCUGUGCCACCCCCUGCCGCGGCGCCCCGGGCGGGGACCAGAAUGGCGCGGGUCGGCGGCUGGAGGCUCAGCUGACUGCAGGCGCGAGGUGCGGAGGCGAGCCCGAGCCAGCGGGGCCCAGAGCCGGCUCUGCCUGUCCUUCUUCAGCCAGCAAACUCUGUGCCUGCCAAACACAGGGCCCUCUGCGGGAAUGUUCAAAAAUGAGUACCAGGGAGGUGCAUUUGUUGAAAUUUUUAGCGCUCAGGGGAAAAAUCCUGGAGCAAAAUGGAAGAUCUUGGGCAGUCCGUCUGUGAUUUGGAAAGAAUUUGAUAAAGAAGUUAAAAGUUUUGUAUUUGUCCUGGAAGGCAGCAGCCAAACCAACAGAAUCCAGUUACCGAAGGAGAAUAAGCAAAUCCAUAUGUGUGAGUGGAGUGACCUGAGAGAAGUCAGGAUGCAUGUCUGCAACUGUAGUUUUUUUUCUUAAGAGAGAGAGGCGCAGUUCACCUGUUUCAGGAUAUCAACUUUAUGAAACAGAUACAUUCUAGGAACUUGGCUGUUUGAAGCUGGAGAGUCUUUUUUGCCAUGAUUGCUGGGUUUGUAAAGACAAUCCGACUGCCCUCUAGUCCCUCUGCAUCUAUGAUCGUGGUAUUGAUGACAUCGUUCAGUCCUAGCAACGUUCUCUUUGGCUCUGAGAAGGAGUCCUCACUUUACCGAAUUGACUAAAUACAGACUCCCCCUCUGCCCCUUCUCUGUUCUUGUUCAGGGUUUUUGGCUUUUUUUUCCCCUUAAUUUCCUCAGAAAUCUGGUUUAAUGUAUUAUAAUUACCUCUUUAAAUGUAACGAUGAUGGCUUUUAAUUAGAAGAAACAGAAGAAUCUUCGAAUGUAUUUCUUAUACAAUGCCCUGCAAUUAAAAAUUAAUCUGGCAUUCCCAUAACAUGUGCAGCAGUGUAACAAAUGAAACAGUUUGCGUGGUCUCCCUAGCACUGAUGCCUUUUGCAAGUUUUGAUAAGAGAAGUUCACAGUUAUUUUUACUUGUAUAAAAUGACCUUGUGUGUGAGGUGGGUAUGGUUAAACUGAAAUUAGAAAGCAUGUCUUGAAUAGAGGUGAAGUGGCUUUCAAUUAGCAUCUAGAUUGAGUUCAAUUAUCAUUAUGUAUUCCUAUUUUAAGAAUAAACAUACACUUUAUGCAAACU